rnacentral:rRNA from 1 species
AUAGUGGGGGAGUAGCCUUUCGAAAGGAAGAUUAAUACCGCAUAAGAUUGUAGUAUCGCAUGAUAUAGCAAUUAAAGGAGCAAUUCGCUAUAAGAUGGACCCGCGUCGCAUUAGCUAGUUGGUGAGGUAAUGGCUCACCAAGGCGACGAUGCGUAGCCGACCUGAGAGGGUGAUCGGCCACAUUGGGACUGAGACACGGCCCAGACUCCUACGGGAGGCAGCAUG